UACGUAGGGUGCAAGCGUUAAUCGGAAUUACUGGGCGUAAAGCGUGCGCAGGCGGCUUUGCAAGACAGAUGUGAAAUCCCCGGGCUUAACCUGGGAACUGCGUCUGAUACUGGAAGGCUCGAGUUCGGGAGAGGAAUGUGGAAUUCCAGGUGUAGCGGUGAAAUGCGUAGAUAUCUGGAGGAACACCGGUGGCGAAGGCGGCAUUCUGGACCGAAACUGACGCUGAGGCGCGGAAAGCCAGGGAGCAAACGGGG
rnacentral:rRNA from 1 species